rnacentral:rRNA from 1 species
UUGUAUAAUAUUACCAUAUGUUCCUUGGAGGCUCUUUGUAUAUUACCUCCGCAGUUAGAUGGCUCGCUGUCAUAACUAGUGGCGGUUUAUGACACAAGGCUACAGAUGACUAGGGGUCUGAGUGGAUUCCCCCCGACACUGUACUGAGCAGGGACAAGCUCUACGGAGGCAGCAGUAGGGCUAUGGCAUGUACGCAAGACUGACCCAGCCAUGCUGCGUGCAGGAUGACGCCUAUGGUGUAACUGCUUUAUCAGGAGAACCUCUACGUGUAGAGGCUGACGGUACCUGAGGAAUAGGAUCGGCUAACUACGUGCAGCAGCGCGGUAUACGGAGGAUCCAAGCGUUGUCCGGAUUUAUUGGGUUUAAAGGGUGCGUAGGCGGACUGAUAAGUCAGAGGUGAAAGCCGGUAGCUCAACUAUCGAUAGCCUUUGAAACUACCAGUCUUGAAUAUUGUUGAGGUAGGCGGAAUGUAUCAUGUAGCGGUGAAAUGCAUAGAUAUGAUACAGAACACCGAUUGCGAAGGCAGCUUACUAAGCAAUUAUUGACGCUGAGGCACGAAAGCGUGGGGAUCAAACAGGAUUAGAUACCCUGGUAGUCCACGCCGUAAACGUUGAAUACUUGCUGUUGGCGAUAUACAGUCAGCGGCUCAGCGAAAGCGUUAAGUAUUCCACCUGGGGAGUACGUUCGCAAGGAUGAAACUCAAAGGAAUUGACGGGGGCCCGCACAAGCGGAGGAGCAUGUGGUUUAAUUCGAUGAUACGCGAGGAACCUUACCUGGGCUUGAAUGUGAGUGUCGUUCCGCGAAAGCGGAAUUUCCUUCGGGGCACAAAACAAGGUGCUGCAUGGCUGUCGUCAGCUCGUGCCGUGAGGUGUUGGGUUAAGUCCCGCAACGAGCGCAACCCCUAUCUUUAGUUGCUAGCAGGUAAUGCUGAGGACUCUAGAGAGACUGCCUAUGUAAAUAGUGAGGAAGGUGGGGACGACGUCAAGUCAUCAUGGCCCUUACGUCCAGGGCUACACACGUGCUACAAUGGUCGGUACAGAGGGUUGCCACUUAGCAAUAAGGCGCUAAUCCCAAAAAACCGAUCUCAGUUCGGAUUGGAGUCUGCAACUCGACUCCAUGAAGUUGGAUUCGCUAGUAAUCGGAUAUCAGCAAUGAUCCGUACUUGCCCC